rnacentral:misc_RNA from 1 species
GCGCAUCUCCGAUGGGGUGCGGGCGCGCCCUGCUCCGGCCGAGGCUGUGCAGCGGGCGCGCCCGUUCCCCGUCCAACACUUCACAAACCCACUGUGAACCUUCACGGCGGAGGGGGCUCGGUCUGUGCCUGAGCCUCCGAGGCCGCAUGCCAAACUCCAGUUGCAAAGAAUGUAUUGCGGACACUGUGCCGCCUAAACACACUUAA